rnacentral:lncRNA from 1 species
AAUUCCAUAUGCUGUGGGGGCACCAAAAAAGAACAAAGAAAAAUGCACUUUAUUAACAAAUCUGUAAGCGGAGCCUAGGAAUAUGUGGUUCUCUGAUAUUUUAUCUUUCUUCCGCCUCUAAAAGAAAGCAUUUUCCCAGCGUAGAGGAAGAAACUUACAUCAUAAAACAAAGCGUACGUAAUUAAUUGUGCAACCUGCCUCUGCUUCCCCUAGUCCUCAGAGAACAUUCCGCCAGGCUACGAAGUGGUGUCUCUCCUGGAGGCCCUCAAUGGGCCCCUCGCCCCGUCCCCAGCGGGGCCCCCGCUCCACGUGCUUGGAGACGGCCACCUCUCAGGAAUGCUGCCUUCCUACGGCAGUGACGGCCACCUGCCUCCCGUGCGGACGCUGUCCCCCCUCGACCGCCUGUCCAACUGCGGCAGCCAGGGACUCAAGCUCAAAAAGUCUCUCUCCAAAUCCAUCUCCCAAAAUUCUUCUGUGUUGCACGAAGAGGAAGACGAGCGUUCUUGCAGCGAAUCGGAGACGCAGCUGUCCCAGCGGCUGUCAGCCCCGCAUCUCGGGGAGGUGAGACAAGCCGGCCUGCUUUCUUCUCGGUUUUAGACUCUGUUUUCCUUGCUGCCCGCCAGCCUCUUGAGAUCUGUCUGCUCUGGUUCAUUCCUCGACACCUUUUGAACACUCAGUGAGACAGUGGCAGAGGUGUGGCCAGAACCCUUCUUUCAACAGGUGUGCAGAGCCUGGGUUUCUGAGCAAGCCCUGCCCCCUGUGCCAAGGACAGCAGCAGGGGGAGAUGCCACUGGCCUCCCCCCUCCUCCCCAAGCUUUUCCACCUGCUGUGCCUCGUCCCUGUCCUCGUCCUCGUGGUGCUUUUUAUACCCUGGGCAGUUGGGGUGGGGCAGACAUAAAAGACAGUGAGCACAGAGGUAUCAGGUGCCAGCGGGCAGUCAGAAUGUCAGGCAAGGGAGUGUCGAGGUUGGAGGUGAGGAUGCUCGAUUUAUUUAUUUAUUUUUUGUCUUUUUUAGGG